GGCUGGGUGGCUUAGUGGUUAGAGCCUAGGGCUUAGGAACGAAAGGUCCCCGGUUCGAAUCUCGCAAGAGGCA
rnacentral:tRNA from 1 species